rnacentral:tRNA from 1 species
UCUCUGGUGGCUCAGACAGUAAAGAAUCUGCCUGCAAUGCAGUAGACCUGGGUUCAAUCCCUGGCUUGGGAA